UAAACAAACUACAGAAAACUAUAAAAAGAGCAUUUCUUCAGCUUUUAAGACAAAUGCGAAUCGCUAGCGGCACGAUAACAAUCGUUCGUCAUGAAGGGUGUUAAAUUAAAUUAUUUUUUGUUAAUGCAAAUGGUAUUCUUUAUUCAUGAUGUUUACAGUGACGCAAAUAAUAACGUUGAUGACAAGAUUGUGAUGGGUUCGAUAGCCAAUAUCACGACUGCUCCCUAUACUGUUUGGGUGACUGCAAUUAGAGGAAGAAAACAAAUCUCUUGUGGAGGAUGUAUACUAACUAGGAAACAUGUUUUAACUGCUGCUCACUGUGUCAAAGGUUACUCACAAGUGGCAGUGAUAACGGGGUUAUCAAGGAAAAAUGAAUCGUUGAAGGAUAUACCAUGGAUAUAUGGAGAGUAUGUAAUUCAUAAUAAAUAUGGAUUAAAAAAUAAUCUGGAUUAUGAUGCCGCAGUUAUUACAUUAGAAAAAAAAAUUUCUUAUAAUUCCAAAUCACAACCUAUAAAGAUCGUAAAAGCCGAUUCCAAAUUUCCUGUGGGCACAAACCUUACAGUAUGUGGAUAUGGAUAUAUCAAGGAUGACGGACCUUCCAGUGAAUACUUACGGUGUGCUGUUUUGCAAUUAUAUUCUGAUAAAGACUGCCGAAGCCAGUACAAAGCAGCUCACGCCCCUACAGAUAGACAGUUAUGCGCUGGUACUGAAACUGGCGUCAAUACUUGCCGGGGUGAUUCCGGCGGGCCUCUGGUAGUAGCCUCGACUGAGGAAGUGCUGGGUUUGGUGAGUGGUGGUUUCUAUUGUGAAAAGAAAGGAGCACUUACAAUCAUUACUAACUUGGCCAAUAAAGAGAUAAAUGAUUUUAUAAAGAAACAUACAAGUGAUUAAUUAAUAAAUUAUUCCUUGCUAACAUGUUUGUGUAUUAAUAUAUUUUAUUGUUUUAUGAAAAUAAAGUGUGCAAGAUA